rnacentral:tRNA from 1 species
GGCGCCAUGGCUUAGUUGGUAAAGCGCGUGUCUAGUAAACAGGAGAUCCUGGGUUCAAAUCCCAGUGGUGCCU